rnacentral:lncRNA from 1 species
CGAUGACUUCCACUAUUGCUUCAAUCCCUAGAGCGAGGGAGGCUUCAUAGAGGGAGCAGGGUGCCAGAGGUUGGUGGGAGACGAAGGGUGGGAGGAGGCAAAUGGGGAUGGGAGAAGUCAUGUUAUUAUUUAAUAUUUAUUAGANNNNNNNNNNNNNNNNNNNNGUUGGGAGCUGGAAGAAGAGAGCAUGGAAGGACGUGCAGGUUGUUUUUGCCGCUGGUUCUUCAUCGAUGACUUCCACUAUUGCUUCAAUCCCUAGAGUGAGGGAGGCUUCAUAGAGGGAGCAGGGUGCCAGAGGUUGGUGGGAGACGAAGGGUGGGAGGAGGCAAAUGGGGAUGGGAGAAGUCAUGUUAUUAUUUAAUAUUUAUUAGACACGGAAUGGUAAACGUCAGCAAGAUUAUAAUAUAUAGUUAAGAGGAAGAAAGGGGAGGAGAGAUUUAUCUAUACGGGUCGGAUUGGGCAAACAGAUUACCAGUUUAUUAAACAGGUUAAACGGGUCAAACAGGUCGGAUCGAGUUAGGCAAACAGAUUAUCUAUUUAUUAAACAGGUUAAACGAGUCGGAUCGGGUUAUCUGUUUAUUAAACAUGACAGGUUCAGGUUGUAAUUUCUGACCUGUUUAAAUAAACAGAUCGGGUUCAGAUUUAUGAUUUUUUGAACUGACCUGCAUCUGACCCGACCCGUUUAUGUCCGACCCGACCCGAUUGCCACCCCUAACCUCCAUGCCAAUAAGCACAACCUAUAUUUGGAUCAUCCAAUGGUAACUUUCUUCAUCUUGCUUGCAUCAACCCAUACUCUAUUUGAUCUUAUUAGCAGUUUAAAAAAGUUAAUCUCUAGAGACAAUCUUGUACUGAGAAAAGAGGUGUUACC